GAUGAACGCUGGCGGCGUGCCUAAUACAUGCAAGUCGAGCGAACAGACGAGGAGCUUGCUCCUCUGACGUUAGCGGCGGACGGGUGAGUAACACGUGGAUAACCUACCUAUAAGACUGGGAUAACUUCGGGAAACCGGAGCUAAUACUGGAUAAUAUAUUGAACCGCAUGGUUCAAUAGUGAAAGACGGUUUUGCUGUCACUUAUAGAUGGAUCCGCGCCGCAUUAGCUAGUUGGUAAGGUAACAGCUUACCAAGGCAACGAUGCGUAGCCGACCUGAGAGGGUGAUCGGCCACACUGGAACUGAGACACGGUCCAGACUCCUACGGGAGGCAGCAGUAGGGAAUCUUCCGCAAUGGGCGAAAGCCUGACGGAGCAACGCCGCGUGAGUGAUGAAGGUCUUCGGAUCGUAAAACUCUGUUAUUAGGGAAGAACAAAUGUGUAAGUAACUAUGCACGUCUUGACGGUACCUAAUCAGAAAGCCACGGCUAACUACGUG
rnacentral:rRNA from 1 species